rnacentral:misc_RNA from 1 species
CAUAUGUGCCGUGUUGUGUUUCAAUAAGAUGUAAACAAAGCUACUUGUGUGUGGUGUGCUGUCUCAAGGUCUUCCUUGUGGAGCGCAUGUUGUCUCAUAAUUGCAUCUCGCCACACUAUCCCGAGCCAUGAUGAAUUGUCAUGUCACAUAAGAUCACAUGCAAUGGAUUGGCUCGGCAUCGAUCAAAUACAUAGAUUUACAGAUUAGUCUUCAAGUAUCGAAAAGGAGGUCACUUUUUGAGGGAGGACAGAACUUACGAAAGAAGGACUGUCCUCCCUAAAGGAGGAUGAUUGGUCACCUUAUUAUUAAUCAAAGCCAAACAAUCGUAAUAAUGAAACAGGUUCAUUAUUAUUGCCUGAUUCAUUAAGGUGAUCAUUUGGCUUUUACUUUUCUCAAUUUUCAAUAAAAUUUGACAACUGUUCUUUGCUCCGUUUUCAAUUUUCUGAUGACAUGCAUAAAACUAUUAUUACUCUUUCCAUCAUAAAUCAUGACCAAAUUUUAUCAGACAAGUUUCAAUUUGCACUUGUUGUAACAAGCAUACACUAAUAAAUCUAACCAUGUAUAUUAUUUUGGCCUCUUAUAUUAAUACUAAAUGUAGAGUGCAUUCAGUAUCAUCAUUUAAUUGGCACACUGUAAAUACAAAAAGGCUGUUAAUCAAGCUAUCCAACAAUUAUUUGCUGUUAUUCUUGAACAAUGUUGCAAAGUGUGAUCAAUUUUUCUAUUAUAAAAAUAUUUACUGAUCAGUUAUCUGCAAACACAUUGUUAUAAUAUAUUUUAAUUAGUAAAUUAAUUAAUAUUGUUAUUUUUGUCUUAUCAUUUUUUUAUUCUGCAUGUUUGAAGAUGACAUUAUCAGGAAAAUGUCAGAUAGUCUUGAACAUCAAGACACCUGAUGAGAUUAAAGAAGAAUCAUGGACUGCAGUAACUCUCAUCAAGGAAUUGAACACACCAGAGUCAUCAAUAAUGUGGUGUGCGGAAAGGCGUCUGUUGACAAAUGAACGCCACUGCACCUCGUGCAGCAAGUCGCUUUGUUUGACGGCAAAUAAGAGUGUCAUUGACAAAUAUCAGUGGCGUUGUAAGAAGUGUUCUGUUGUAGAAUCCAUUCGUAAAAAAUCUGUCUUUCAAAAUUGUCAUUUAACUAUUUUACAAAUUAUAAUAAUUAUGUAUUUUUGGUCAAGAGAGUAUCCGUCCAGAAUAGCUGCAGUGGAAGUUGAAGUGAGUAAAAAAGUGGCCAUAGAUUGGUAUAAUUUCUUUAGAGAUAUCUGCAAAAAUUACUUUGAUUCCCAUCCAGUUCAGUUAGGAGGUUUGGAUGAUAAUGGGUUUCCAAAGGUAGUAGAAGUGGAUGAGACAUUUAUUUUCCAUAAGAAUCAUAAUUGUGAACAAACUAAAAAUGAUAGAAAAUGCGUAUUUGGAGGCAUCGAACGUGAUUCGCGAAAGUGUUUCCUAGUGGAAGUACCAAACCGGAAAGCUCAAACACUUUUUCCAAUUAUAGAACAAUAUGUAUUGCCUGGAAGCAGGAUUAUAUCGGAUGACUGUUCUGCAUAUGCCAAAAUUGGCCAAAUAAAUGAUGGGAUAUAUCAGCACGAUAGCGUCCACGAACGAGAUUUUGUGGAUGGCAUAGAUCCAGAAAUCCACACUCAACACAUUAAAAAUAUGUGGUCAAGAGCAAAACAAAAAUUAAAACAUCAAUAUUAUAAAAAUACCAAAUUAUUUCAACCUUAUUUAUUAGAAUUUCAAUGGCGAUGUUUGUUUAAAACUCAUGCUUUUGAAAACUUUUUAAUGUGUGUUUCAAAUAAAUAUCCAUGUUAAUUUUUUAAUUGUCUUUUUUUAUGAUGGAAUUUGUACAUCUUAUAUGUGUUCAAUAUUGAUCAUCUGAUUUAUCCCAGUCAAGAUUCUCCUAAAUUAAUAGCUAAUUAGAUUUCAGUUUGCAUCAACAUUAUUUGAUGAUUCUCCAUUUACUUUUAAGUAAUGAACAUAACAAUGACUAUAGAGGAUCAUAGUCUCAAUUGAAUGGCAGUGAUUUUUAUAAGGAAGAGAAGAGACAAUAUGAAAUAUGCAUUUCCUAUAUCUGUGAAUAAAGUUUAAUGUAAGUUUGCUAAUCAAGUUGUCCAGUAAGAAUCUACAGAGUUGCUGCUACUGUUGUCAAACUGAUAUGAAUUAAUACAUCCGGUCCAAUGAUACUUGCUUGGAUGAGUAAAAUAUUUUCUUUUUUUAUAUAAUUUUGAGUAUUUAUUCAACAAUGGAAGUUUUCUGAAAAAUAAGAAAUAUAUUUGUGAAUAAAUAUUUAU